rnacentral:lncRNA from 1 species
AAGAAAUCUCCCUGCUGGAACUGGUUCUUUAUAUACCAUAUGCAAUUAAGUUAUUGCCAUAGGAAGAAAGUGGGCUGUUUUUUGUUCUUUCUUUGUUUUUUUUUCCUCUUACAGGAAUCCCCUUUUGAUUUAAGGCCACAAACAUUUCCCCUCCGUUGUUUGUCCAUUUAGCUGCUGCAUAUGUGUUGUAAUGGUUUUCCAGAAUUAGAUCUUUGAAGUUACAAUCUUCAUUGCAUUCCUUCUGUUAAAACAAACAAACAAACAAACAAACAAACAAACAUGAUCCAAAUGAUUUUUAGAGAGGCUCAAUUAAACGAAGAGUAAGCAGGUAAUAUUUGGUAGAAUUGAAACAUACACAACUUUUUUUAACCCUCAGAUUGAGCAGGCCUAAUGUGGUUUAUUAGCUAGACUUAUGUAGUAUAUUUGCAUUAAAAGGUAUCUUAAAUUUGAAAUAGAAACACCACAUAAUACACAGCUAGUUAUGAAAUAUGUGUAGCUUUUUGGAAGUUCAUGUCAACUAUUCUUUAAAAUUAGGACCUAUUUCCCCCUAAGUAACAGGCCUCAUAUUACUAUUCCCACAUCACUCAUUCUUUAACCACUGGAAAUUUGCUAUAAUUAGCAGAACCUCUGCCUCCCUCAGGUGAGAGACUUGUUUCACAACUUUUCUUUAUUUACUUCUACAUUGUCUUCAAUGGUAAUGGAAGAUAAAAGGUUAAUUUGUUUGUUCAUCCAUGCAACCAUUUGUUCAUUACAGUGAGAUGAACUGUUACAUAUUUUGCAUUGUAGUGAAGUGGGAACAAUGUGAAUAAUUACAGUUCAAAGCCCAUGAUUGUCAGAUUGAUAUUGAUGAAUGAACUAAACAUUUCAAGAUUUUUUCCCAAGAAUUUUCAUGUCAGCAAUGUGCAAAUUGAGUGAACUUUAACAAAAAGAGCUUUAAUACUGGCAAAUGGAAAUUUUGGAUUUUAAAUAUCUAAAAUGCACAUGGAAUUUUAGAGCUGGCAGGAUCCUUAGAGGUCAGCUAAUUCAACUCAUUUUACAGAUGAAGAAACCAAAAUCCAAAGAACAAGCCAUUUGUCCAAAGUCACACAGAAAACAUUUUUUCUUAAUGUUUGAGUAUAAAGUGUUUUAAUAAAAUCAUUAAAUUAUACAGUUGGAGAUAAAUUAAGUCCAUUUUUACUUUUCAGAAUGGUGAGAUAUUUCAACAAAAGAGUUUUAAAAAUUAAGCCUAAGCUAUCAAUUAUCAAUACCUUUGCAUAGAGUUUUCCUUCCUCGUUCAUUGCAAGAUAGAAUUCACUUUCCACCCCUUUGAUUGCCACAAUCCCAACUGCUACUGUCCUGAUUUCCAUGAUAUCUGCAAGGAAUCACAGAAAGACAUGUCAAGUAUUCGUUCAGCUUUGCAAAUGAUCCACGAAUGGCCGUUUGUUCUUAUUUCUGUUUUAAUCGGAAGUUUUUAAAAUUUUUAAUGUGAUUAUUUACUCAGCCCAAGACCCCGACCCACAACAGAUACA